GCUGGUGUAGCUCAGUGGUAGAGCACUUGCUUUGAAUGUGGGAGGUCCUAGGUUAGAUCCAUAGCACCUGGCG
rnacentral:tRNA from 1 species